GACGAACGCUGGCGGCGUGCUUAACACAUGCAAGUCGAACGGAAAGGCCCUGCUUUUGUGGGGUGCUCGAGUGGCGAACGGGUGAGUAACACGUGAGUAACCUGCCCUUGACUUUGGGAUAACUUCAGGAAACUGGGGCUAAUACCGGAUAGGAGCUCCUGCUGCAUGGUGGGGGUUGGAAAGUUUCGGCGGUUGGGGAUGGACUCGCGGCUUAUCAGCUUGUUGGUGGGGUAGUGACUUACCAAGGCUUUGACGGGUAGCCGGCCUGAGAGGGUGACCGGCCACAUUGGGACUGAGAUACGGCCCAGACUCCUACGUGAGGCAGCAGUGGGGAAUAUUGCACAAUGGGCGGAAGCCUGAUGCAGCAACGCCGCGUGCGGGAUGACGGCCUUCGGGUUGUAAACCGCUUUCGCCUGUGACGAAGCGUGAGUGACGGUAAUGGGUAAAGAAGCACCGGCUAACUACGUG
rnacentral:rRNA from 1 species